CUGUAGGUCAGGAGUUGUGGCUACUGCGGCGAUACGAUAUGGAGUGAUGCGUCGGUGGGCGGUGUAGCGAAUGUGUGUAACGUUACCGUGUGUGUAAUUAUCGCCGUCCUUCUGUGGAGAUUACGUGGGGCGAGCUACGGUUGACCAGUGAGUUGUGACUGAUGCCACCCGGAAUGCAACUGGUUUUGUCCGCAACUCUGUGAGGGAAAACUUCGUUCGCUCAAGAACGGGCGCAGACGAGUGUACAAGACUGUCCGCUGCUAUUGCUUCUGUCACGGAGUCACACUUACCUCUCAUAGCCGUGCUUAUACCAUAUACGCUAUCCCGGUUUAUAUAUAACCUGUAGCUUGGACCGCCUAGACCGCCUGAUGGUGAUGAUCGCGGGCCGUGGGUUGUGUGCUUACGUAUGUGGUGUGCGAGCGCGUGUACUUGGCUGUUGACCCGUCUUACCGCACCUGCUGGGCACGUGAAGAUUUAUGAGGUUGGUGGUGGUGGUGGUGGGUAUGCAGUCGCUCGCUCGCGUGAUGACUGUGGUGCUCUAGUUGCAUGUGAUCGGUGACAGUCACAGGUGUGGGUGGCCGUCGUUUAGACGCAUGAGAUGCAGCGCCGUAGAGGCGGAGAGCAAACACAGCGGCCUGUGACGUGCAGCUGUUACGCAUAGACCGCAAAUCUACGAUGUUAAAUUCCUACAGUGCUCUUUGAACACGCACGAGCAGACUGAAAGCCUAUCCCAUGUGUAUAUUGUGCGCGGCCAUCGCAGCCCUACACCUGCGCGGAUAUGUGAUAGUGGUGUGUUCCAUGUUCUAACCAGUUCGCAUGACUUUAGUCAGUCUCAAAACUGCUACAGUGCAUCGCUGUUGAAAGAUCAGACUGUGUUAACAAAUAUGCGAGAAACGAGAGAGGGAAUGUGAGUUUGUCGCUAUAAGCUAUAGCCUAUAGGUGUGCGUACGUACGCGUGUGUGACGUGUUAGCAAUGCUGGAUGAACCGAUGGGAUCAUGGGAGUGUCUUGUCUACCCGGUACUAGUGUAACCGCUGCGGCUGUAUAACUGGUGAGGAAGGCCGCGCACACACACAGCUGUGUCAUUCGCAAGUGGUUGGCAGUAGCUGAGUCUGACCAAUUCUGACAGUAGCUACGUGUGUCCGCCUGACAAAGGGUGUUGUCUAAUCUGUUUACCGAGUCAACUAACACUUUCUAGAGUUCUCGCAGCAUGUUUACUGAUGGUUGACUAUGAGAUGACCUACAUGGGUGUGCGCAUUAGAGUGUACCUUCGCACUGGAUUUCACUAGUGACCUGUACGGGCUGUGCUUUGGACUGAACUUGGAGGCGAGAUAUUUUGAUCGCUUAUUGCACAUCAUGGCUGGGUUCUUCACCAAAGUUUUCGGCGGACAAAAGCAGGACAAGCGUAAGUCGACGUCGUCCGAGCAGGAGCUUGAAAGGGGAGAUGUCCCGCCGUCUCCUCUCUCCCCUCAGCAGAGGAAUGUGUCCUUUCUCGCAGAGGAACCGCAAUCUCCCUCUGCUGUGAGCCUGAAAGAGGACACUGCUGAGCUCACGACAGAGGGUCCAGGGUUGUCCUCCUCAAUGGCAGAAGAAGAGGAAAAGGAGGAGAAAGAUGGGUUGAGUGAGGAGGCGGUGUUUGGAGGGGGAAAAGAAGAGGAAGAGGAAGAGUGCAAAGAUAGCUUUCUGGAAAUGUCAGACCUGGACAUGAUGCUGGAUGAAGCUCUUGUCAAGGAAGAUGACAGUACGACUCAGGGAAGUGACAGCAUCGUCAGCAAUGUCAAGGUCAAAACCGUGUCUUCACCAAAGCCUGUCACCAAACACAAGGAGAGCCCAGCAUUAAGUCCCCUGGGAUCACCGGAGAAACAAGAGAGCAGCUUUCUGUCAAAGGUGUUUGGUAGCCGCAAGCACAAAGAUAGGAAGUCAAAGAAACGGUCCAAAGCUGAGAAGCAGAAGAAAAAGAAAGAUGUCCCUGAGUUGCCAGUGGAUGAGGUAUUGCAUACAGAUGAGGAGGAAAAACUUCCAGAAACUGCAGAAAAGAUUAGCCAUGAAACCAUUGAAGGUAGAGACACUAACGAUGAGGAGGCAGUUGAGGGAACAGAUGACACGACAUCAAUAAACAUGGAAUUCUUUCCUAGCGAAGUACUCCUCGAUCUAAUAUCUCCAUCUCCUACUUCAUUUGCCGAUAUUCCUACUAGUGAUGAUGUGCAUCCGCAACAGGAGAAGGAGGAGAGUGAGUUAAGUGAACAGAGCAAGAAUGAGGACCUACAAUCAUAUGGAGGCCCAGUGACCGAUGGCGCAUUACCAAUGACAACACCACCUGGCAUUGUUAAAGAGGUGGGAGAAGGAGAGACAGAAGGUGCUGACGACAGUGUGGUGAAUACAUUGCCAGUUUCCCAUGAUGUUAACGAUGUUACAACUGGGAGCAUCGAUUCUAGUGAACAGGGCAGAAAAUUGGUUGAAUUACUGGAGAGGGUGGAAGCAGAAACUGAAAAAGAAAGCAUAACAGAACAAGAGCAUGCGUCUCCUGCGUCCGAUGAUAGCGAGAAACCAGCUGAGCAGCUGAGUCCAGUUGAGAUCACAGAGGUUGAUGAGGAAGAAAAUGGAGUCAGUUUCCACACACCUCCAGAGGAGGUUGUGCUAUCUGAUGAUGACAGGACGGAGCGGAAAGAAACUGUGGCUGAUGAUGGAGAAGCUCAUGCAGUUAUGGGAGUAACAGCCAGUGAUGCAGUUGAGGUGGCUGUUGCUCCUCGGCCCGACACCGAAGUAACAACACUUAGUGAUGAAGUCACCAGUGAAGAUGACCGGAAUGCUUCGCAAGAAACCAGCGAGACGUCGACGUCGCCGGGGAUCGAAGACGUCACCAGCAUGGACGCAGAGCGAAAAUUGGAUGACAAAACCUACGACUCAUCACCGGCUGACGUACACCGUAGCGAAUCACGUACCGAAGAUAUCGCUGAUGUGUCGUCAGCAGUCGAGUUGCAAGACACCGAUCGUGUUUCUGCUUCUGUGUUCCAAAAGACCGCAGAAGAUUCCUCAGUUGAAGAGGAAUGUGCUAGUCAUCAACAUCAUCCAGAAGAAGUCAUCCUAGAGGAAGAAAUUGUCAAACCUUCUUCAGUUUUGGCUGUCACAUCAGGAGAAUCUGGUCAAACGCAGCUUGUAGCAACAGCGGAAGGGACCUGUGAGCCCACAUCGCUGUCUGCUGACGAUGAAACUGUAAGAGAUAGUGGAACAAGCCAGCAGGCAAGCGAUGAAAUAACCGCAUUCGCCUCAACUGGGAAUGAAGAGAUUGAAUGUUCGAUGGCCGAUGCCCCUGCAGAGAGUGUAUCUGCGCAGCAAACUGCAGAUACGUGUGAAAACAAUUCCGAGAUGGAUCCUGACUAUGAUGUUGUGAGUGCUGUUAUUGAGCAGAAUAAGCGCAGACUUCAUCAAGCAUCGAUACAUAUGAAAGAUGAUGAGAUAGGGGAUGAAUUUGAAAGAGCCGUGGGAAAACCUGAGGCGGAACAGCGACUGGCAGCAAAACGUGCGGCUAGAUCUGAAGCUAGAAAGAUACGGCUGAAAGAAGUGGAGCGCCAGCAAGCAGAGGCAGAGGCAAAAGAAUACAGGCGACCGGAAGUGACCGUUGAACCAACAUCGAAGAGCUAUGGCGCAGCAAGGGCUGGAUCAGCUUCAUCCAUCACCAGCGUGGGCAGAAGGGGAAGUGAUAGCAGUGAGUCGGAUAACAGGGAACGUAAGAGGGAACUUCAUGAAAUGGAGGAAAAGUUUAAAAAGGUGAUGAUAACGAAUUCGCAGCUUGACAAUGAGAAAUCAACACUAAUGUACAAGUUAGAUCUUCUGAAGGAUGACCUUGAGAUGUCGGAGGAAACCAAAUGCCAGUUGGAGAGAGAGCUGAAGGACAAGUGCCAUGAAUGUGACUUCCAGAAGAGAGACCUAGAUGCAGCACAAAGCCAGGCAAAGAAUCUCAAAGAGCAAGUUACUACACUUGUCAGGCUAAUUGAGGAGCAAGGCCUUUGCAUACUAGGAGCCGGUGAUUCUCUACAGCUGGUGGAGAUUGAGCACAACCUCACUGAGGACGCGAAGCCUGUGGCUCUCCUGACGCAGGAAUCAGCACAACUGCUACACCUGACUGGUGAAGGCUCGUUAGAUGUCAGACUUAAAAAAUUUGCCGAGGAGAAGAAGGACUUAGAAGAUAGAGUGCGCCGCCUGAAAAUGCAACUGGAAGAAGAGAGACAGCGUAGCGAUGAUGCUAUGACGAAAAUACGCAGUGCUGCUGCCUCCCAGAAUGGUCCUGAAGAUGAGAGAGAAAAACGUGAAUCGAGCAGAGAAGGAAGUGACUUUAGGAUAAAGCUAAUGAAAGCUGAACAAGAAAUUGCUGCCUUACAAUCUAGUAUGGGGUCGUUUAGAAAGGGAUGCAAAGAGGGCUGAGGCACUAGCAAAGGAUGCUGAGAAGGAAGCUGAUGACUUAAAGGCCGAGAAGAGAAAGAUGCAACGAGAGAUACGGGAACAACGGACUAGGGUAGAGGAAUUAGAUACAGAAAAGGGACACCUUCAGAAACG
rnacentral:misc_RNA from 1 species